GUCUUCCCUUUAUUUCCUUGCUUUUCUUUCUUUUUUUUCUUUUUUCUUUUUUUUUAAUUUCCUUCUCACACUGUGAGAGAUGGAGUAAAAAGGAUAACUAACUAUAUUUUCUAGCACUGGUCUGUCUUGUGAGCACUGUGAUAGGCUUUUACCAUGUUUGCAACUCACUAUGAAUUGCAUAUUGGCUACUGCUGGUCCACGAACGCAACAACAGCAUUUAUACAGCAAUCCCGGUAUUCACAAUAUCACACAGGGUCCAGUAUUAUAUGAUGUUUCUAUACAGCACUGCUUGCGAAAAGGUUAAUAUUACUACACUGUGUCGAAUACAUCUUUGAUAAUACUUACUUUUUAAAUUAAAAACAUUUUAAAUGUAUUUUGAAAACAUGUUGGCUAACUUAAUGUAUAGACAAAAAUAAAUGCUAUAUAAUGUUCUGCUUUUCUAGAAUACAGGCAGGGGCAAUGUUUUAAGAAAUUCUAUGCCUUCCUUGGUUUAUAGAAAACAUUCUUAAUCUGUUCUGUAUGCAUGAGGAAUUACUGCUAUAAGUAUGUGCAUAUUCUUGCCAAUUUUGCAAUAACAGUAAAUGAAUACUUGUAUAGAAAAAUGAACAAGAACAAAGAAGCCAAGAAUAUGCCUAAGCCAUUUGUAUCUCUUUCUUAAUUUUUAUGUGUCUAUGUUUUGCUGUGUAUUUAGUGUAUAGCAACAAUAGUAUAGCUAUAUGUGGUUAACCAUGUAUAAUCAUGUGUUGACAUAAGACAGAACAUUUGGUUUAUAUGUUAUUUUUCUUAGUAUAGAAAUCCGCAGUUACUGCAUGCUAAGAAGCACAGCAAUCGUUUCGCUGAGACAGGCAAAGGAAGUGGUCUGUUUGUGACUCAACACUGCUUUCCGGAACAGUUCAUGCUUAAUCUUAAAGAAAUUUAGUGGCUUGCAUAUAUGUUAAAUAGAUUUUUAUAUCUGAAAAUCAAGACUUUGUAUAUUUACAUAGCUGCCACUUAUAGAAUGUGUUAGCCAUUAGAAAACAUAAUUUUUACAAGUAGAUAGAAC